CCGUGCAAAGGUAGCAUAAUCAUUUGUUCCUUAAAUAGGGACUUGUAUGAACGGUUAGAUGAGGGCAAAACUGUCUCCUACAGUUAAUCAAUGAACUUGAUCAUACAGUACAAACGCUGUAAUUUAUUUAUAAGACGAGAAGACCCUGUGGAGCUUUAAACUUCUACAUUAAAUUAAUUAUAACAUAAUGUAGAGUUUUAAGUUGGGGCGACUAUGGAGUAAAAAAGAACCUCCAUGAAUACACGACUAACCCUCGUCACAAAAGGCUAACAGGCCUAACCAAAAAGUUUGACCCAAUCAUAUUGUACACCGAACCAAGUUACCCCAGGGAUAACAGCGCCAUCCCCUUAAAGAGUUCACAUCGCCAAGGG
rnacentral:rRNA from 1 species